rnacentral:rRNA from 1 species
GACGAACGCUGGCGGCGUGCUUAACACAUGCGAGUCGAACGGAAAGGCCCUGCUUUUGUGGGGUGCUCGAGUGGCGAACGGGUGAGUAACACGUGAGUAACCUGCCCUUGACUUUGGGAUAACUUCAGGAAACUGGGGCUAAUACCGGAUAGGAGCUCCUGCUGCAUGGUGGGGGUUGGAAAGUUUCGGCGGUUGGGGAUGGACUCGCGGCUUAUCAGCUUGUUGGUGGGGUAGUGGCUUACCAAGGCUUUGACGGGUAGCCGGCCUGAGAGGGUGACCGGCCACAUUGGGACUGAGAUACGGCCUAGACUCCUACGGGAGGCAGCAGUGGGGAAUAUUGCACAAUGGGCGGAAGCCUGAUGCAGCAACGCCGCGUGCGGGAUGACGGCCUUCGGGUUGUAAACCGCUUUCGCCUGUGACGAAGCGUGAGUGACGGUAAUGGGUAAAGAAGCACCGGCUAACUACGUG